CCUUCGAUAGCUCAGUUGGUAGAGCGGAGGACUGUAGAUCCUUAGGUCGCUGGUUCAAAUCCGGCUGAAGGA
rnacentral:tRNA from 1 species